rnacentral:rRNA from 1 species
GUGCCAGCCGCCGCGGCGGUAAUACGGAGGGUGCAAGCGUUAAUCGGAAUUACUGGGCGUAAAGCGCACGCAGGCGGUCUGUUAAGUCAGAUGUGAAAUCCCCGGGCUCAACCUGGGAAUUGCAUCUGAUACUGGCAGGCUUGAGUCUCGUAGAGGGGGGUAGAAUUCCAGGUGUAGCGGUGAAAUGCGUAGAGAUCUGGAGGAAUACCGGUGGCGAAGGCGGCCCCCUGGACGAAGACUGACGCUCAGGUGCGAAAGCGUGGGGAGCAAACAGGAUUAGAUACCCUGGUAGUCCACGCCGUAAACGAUGUCGACUUGGAGGUUGUGCCCUUGAGGCGUGGCUUCCGGAGCUAACGCGUUAAGUCGACCGCCUGGGGAGUACGGCCGCAAGGUUAAAACUCAAAUGAAUUGACGGGGCCCGCACAAGCGGUGGAGCAUGUGGUUUAAUUCGAUGCAACGCGAAGAACCUUACCUGGUCUUGACAUCCACGGAAGGUCUCAGAGAUGAGACUGUGCCUUCGGGAG